rnacentral:rRNA from 1 species
CAGUAGUGUAUAUUAAAGUUGUUGCAGUUAAAAAGCUCGUAGUUGGACGUCUCUGCAGCUACUCCCCCUCGGAGGCGCUGCAGAUCUGCCUAGCGGCUCCGCUCGGCGUUCAUUCGUUGGCGGGGACACGCGGGCAUUUUACCUUGAGGAAACUAGAGUGUUUAAGGCAGGCUAAAGCUUGAAUACCGCAGCUGGGAAUAAUGCGCUCGGGAUGUCUUGGCGAGACAACUCGAAUUUAUUAAUAGGGACAGUUGGGGGCAUUCGUACUCAGCAGUCAGAGGUGAAAUUCUUGGAUUUGCUGAAGACGGACUAGUGCGAAAGCAUUUGCCAAGGAUGUUUUCAUUAA